CCUUCAGGUGAUGCAGCAAGACUGAACCAGUGGCUGGCUAACAUGAGAAGGAAGGACUGGACACCUGGGCCAUCAUCUCAUCUUUGCGGUGCUCAUUUUGAAGAAAAUGACAUCAUCACAGACUCAAAGGGUGAGGUCAACUGGGAGAAGAGCAAGACGUAACAUUUUGAUAGGUACUGGCACAGAGGUAAGUGGCUCUCAAGGUUUAUCAAGCGAUGUGUCAGGGAACAGUAAUGUUGGUCAAACACAUACAAAAUUCGACCACAACAUGACACCAGGAGACCAUAGUUACGCGUUAUUACCAACCACAUUAGCAGAACCAGGCUGUAUUCAAGAGGAUCACUGCUACAACCUUGAGUCUCCAAAGUCGUUAAAGCGUAAAAAUCCAGCUUCAGAAGAGAUGCUAACAAAAUACAGGAAAAAGCUGAGAUUGCAAUGCCAAAAGUCUAGGCGUUUAAAGACAAAAGUUUGUACCUUAAAGGAUGUCACCAAAGUAUUCAAGAACAAGCUCUUGAUCUCAAAUCAGUGUGCAUCUUUGCUUGAGUCAAUCAAUGAAGUUCCAAAACACAUCUUGCGUAAAAUCCUUGAUGGGAAAAAGUCAGCUAAAUAUUCUGAGGAAUUGAAACAGUUUGUCACCACACUUCAUUUUUACUCCCCAAAAGCACAUGAGUAUGUGCGUGAGAAUUUUAAUAAAGCGUUGCCACACAGUCACACCAUUCGCACUUGGUACAGUGGUGUCUCAGCUGAUCCUGGAUUUACCGUAGCAUCUUUCAGAGCACUAACAAGUCACGUGGAGGCAAACAGAGAACAGGGAAAGGAGACAGUGUGUGCACUAAUGAUGGAUGAAAUGUACAUCCACAAAAUGACUGAGUUUGCAGGUGACCGGUUCCAUGGCUAUGUAGAUAUAGGCACUGGUGAAAUUGACAACACACUUGCCACCCAGGCCUUUGUCCUCAUGGUUGUGGCUGUCAACUUCCUCAUCGAUGGUAUGGAUGGAUCAGAGAAGAGCCAAUGUCAUUCGGGAAAGCUUCAUGAAGUUGGUGUUAAAGUUGUCUCCCUUACGUGUGAUGCCCCUACGAAUAACUUUGCCAUGAUAAGGGAACUUGGCGCAGAGGUAAAUAUCGACAACAAGCCCUACUUCUUUCAUCCAGAGAAUCCCACACAAAAAGUGCAUGUGAUCCUGGAUGCAUGCCAUAUGCUAAAGCUUCUUCGUAAUGCCUUUGCAUCUUCAAUGGAAUUUGAGACAGAAGAUGGGAGGAAGAUUAAGUGGAAGUACUUUGAAGCCCUUAAUAAACUCCAAGAUGAAGAGGGUCUACGACUAGGUAACAGGCUAAAAAUGGCUCAUUUACAGUGGAGAAAACAAAAAAUGAAAGUCCACCACAGCUCUUCAGCAGAAGUGUAGCGGAUGCAAUGGAGUUCUGUGAACAAGGCUUGAAAUUGGAGGAGUUUAAAGGUUGUUCUGCAACUGUGGAGUUUGUGCGCACUGUAGAUGCAGCCUUUGAUGUGCUCAACAGCCGUAAUCAUCUUGGAAAAGGUUACAAAGCUCCAAUUAAGCCAUCAACUAAACACAGGGCUGAGACAAUCUUGAAGGAUGCAGAAACCUUGCUUCGUGGGUUGAAGGUCCAGCAGUAUGACAAGAUGGUGCCACUUCACACCACAAAAAAGAAGACUGCCAUAUAUGGCUUCAUUGCUAAUGGCAUAAGUGCACUUAACAUUUAUAAUGAACUUGUUGAGAAGACGAUGCCCCAUGCAGGUAUCUUCUGACCUACAAACUGAGUCAGGACUAGGGCUGGGUAUCAUCACUGAUUUUGUAGAAUCGAUUCAAUUCCGAUUCACAAGGUCC